UUUAAGAUAGGGAAUGAAGUUCUCCCUGGAUUAAUAUUCCAAACCGCUGAUAAGCUAAUGACUUCUAAGCACCG
rnacentral:ncRNA from 2 species